AAAAUAACAAUGAUUUCCCUAGUAACGGCGAGUGAAGAGGAAAGAGCUCAAAGUUGGAAACUGUUUGGCUUAGCUAAACCGUAUUGUAAACUGUAGAAACAUUUUCCUGGCACGCCGGAUUAAUAAGUCCUUUGGAACAAGGCAUCAUGGAGGGUGAGAAUCCCGUCUUUGAUCCGAGUAGUUGUCUUUUGUGAUAUGUUUUCAAAGAGUCAGGUUGUUUGGGAAUGCAGCCUAAAUUGGGUGGUAAAUCUCACCUAAAGCUAAAUAUUUGCGAGAGACCGAUAGCGAACAAGUACCGUGAGGGAAAGAUGAAAAGAACUUUGAAAAGAGAGUUAAACAGUAUGUGAAAUUGUUAAAAGGGAACCGUUUGGAGCCAGACUGGUUUGACUGUAAUCAACCUAGAAUUCGUUCUGGGUGCACUUGCAGUCUAUACCUGCCAACAACAGUUUGAUUUGGAGGAAAAAAUUAGUAGGAAUGUAGCCUCUCGAGGUGUUAUAGCCUACUAUCAUACUCUGGAUUGGACUGAGGAACGCAGCGAAUGCCAUUAGGCGAGAUUGCUGGGUGCUUUCGCUAAUAAAUGUUAGAAUUUCUGCUUCGGGUGGUGCUAAUGUUUAAAGGAGGAACACAUCUAGUAUAUUUUUUAUUCGCUUAGGUUGUUGGCUUAAUGACUCUAAAUGAC
rnacentral:rRNA from 1 species